AUACCUUUCUCGGCAUUUUGGCUAAGAUCAAGUGUAGUAUCUGUUCUUAUCAGUUUAUUAUCUGAUACGUGGUCCAAUGGCCCACAACGAUAUUAAAUUUAUUUUUUAAGGGGAAAGACCCAUCACAAUAGCUUGCUAUUGGGGUCUUUGCCUGUCGCCCAUGCGUUGCACUGCUGCACGGGCCUAGCGUACCCCAC
rfam:Spinacia oleracea cultivar SynViroflay scaffold61206.con0003.1, whole genome shotgun sequence.